rnacentral:rRNA from 1 species
GUGAACGCUAGCGGUGCGCCUAACACAUGCAAGUCGAGCGCCCAGCACUAUUUUGAUCCAUUGGAAUUUUCCUCGGUCGAAAUGGUGCUGGGAGCGGCGGACGGCUGCGUAACACGUUGGAAUCUUCCCCGGACUCAGGGAUACCCCCGCGAAAGCGGGGUUAAUACCGGAUGGUCCCGCAAGGGUAAAGCUUUUGCGGUCCGGGAGGAGCCUGCGGCCUAUCAGCUAGUUGGUAAGGUAACGGCUUACCAAGGCUAUGACGGGUAGCUGGUCUGAGAGGACGACCAGCCAGAAUGGGACUGAGACACGGCCCAUACUCCUACGGGAGGCAGCAGUGAGGAAUCUUCCGCAAUGGGCGAAAGCCUGACGGAGCGACACCGCGUGGAGGAUGAAACCAUUUUUUGGCGUAAACUCCUGUUCUGAGGGAACAAAUUUUUGAGUGUACCUCAGGAGAAAGCACCGGCUAAUUCCGU